rnacentral:rRNA from 1 species
GACGAACCGUGCGAACGUUAUUCGGAAUAACUGGGCUUAAAGGGCGCGUAGGCGGGCUGACAAGUCUGGGGUGAAAUCCCGCGGCUCAACCGUGGAACUGCCUUAGAUACUGUCGGCCUCGAGGAAGGUAGGGGCAUGCGGAACUGUAGGUGGAGCGGUGAAAUGCGUUGAUAUCUACAGGAACUCCGGUGGCGAAAGCGGCGUGCUGGACCUUUUCUGACGCUGAGGCGCGAAAGCUAGGGGAGCAAACGGG